AGGUACUGCUAUCGGUGUCCGAUUAAGCCAUGCGAGUCGUGAGUUAACUCGGCAUACUGCUCAGUAACACGUGGAUAAUCUACCCAAAGGUCUGGGAUAACCCCGGGAAACUGGGGAUAAGACCGGAUAGGCCAAUACGUCUGGAAUGUGUGUUGGCUGAAAGGUAACGCCUUUGGAUGGGUCUGUGGCGGAUUAGGUAGACGCCGGUGUAACGUACCGGCGUGCCUGUAAUCCGUACGGGUUGUGGGAGCAAGAGCCCGGAGAUGGAUUCUGAGACACGAAUCCAGGCCCUACGGGGCGCAGCAGGCGCGAAAACUCUACAAUGCAGGCAACUGCGAUAGGGGGACAUCGAGUGGCACCCACCUUGGGUGUCUGUCCAACCGUCUAAAAAACGGUGUUACAAGGGCCGGGUAAGACCGGUGCCAGCCGCCGCGGUAAUACCGGCGGCUCGAGUGGUGGCCGAUAUUAUUGAGUCUAAAGGGUCCGUAGCCGGCUUUGCAAGUCCUCUGGGAAAUCCAGCGGCUUAACCGUUGGGCUUCCAUGGGAAACUACAUUGCUUGGGACUGGGAGAGGUAGGAGGUACUCGAGGGGUAGGGGUGAAAUCCUGUAAUCCUUCGGGGACCACCGGUGGCGAAGGCGUCCUACCAGAACGGGUCCGACGGUGAGGGACGAAAGCUAGGGGCACGAACCGGAUUAGAUACCCGGGUAGUCCUAGCCGUAAACGAUGCCCGCUAGGUGUCACGGCGGUCGUGAAUCGCCGUGGUGCCGUAGGGAAGCCGCGAAGCGGGCCACUUGGGAAGUACGGCCGCAAGGCUGAAACUUAA
rnacentral:rRNA from 1 species